rnacentral:rRNA from 1 species
UCCUACGGGAGGCAGCAGUGAGGAAUAUUGGUCAAUGGCCGCAGGGCUGAACCAGCCAAGUCGCGUGAGGGAUGACGGUCCUAUGGAUUGUAAACCUCUUUUGUCAGGGAGCAAAGGGCGCCACGUGUGGCGUUUUGCGAGUACCUGAAGAAAAAGCAUCGGCUAACUCCGUGCCAGCAGCCGCGGUAGUACGGAGGAUGCGAGCGUUAUCCGGAUUUAUUGGGUUUAAAGGGUGCGCAGGCGGAAUGUCAAGUCAGCGGUAAAAUUUCGGGGCUCAACCCCGUACUGCCGUUGAAACUGCAUCC